GGUCGCUUAGCUCAGUUGGGAGAGCACCUGCCUUACAAGCAGGGGGUCACUGGUUCGAGCCCAGUAGCGACCACCA
rnacentral:tRNA from 4 species